UCCAGCUAAUCGCCGGCAGUCUCGCUAGAGUGCCCAGCAUUACCUGAUGGCAACUAACGAUAAAGGUUGCGCUCGUUGCGGGACUUAACCCAACACUUCACAGCACGAGCUGACGACAGCCAUGCAGCACCUGUGGAAAAGCUCCUUGCGGAGAAACCGACUUUCAUCGGCUGUCUUAACCAUGUCAAGCCUGGGUAAGGUUCUUCGCGUAGCCUCGAAUUAAACCACAUGCUCCACCGCUUGUGCGGGUCCCCGUCAAUUUCUUUGAGUUUCAGUCUUGCGACCGUACUCCCCAGGUGGUGGAUUUAAUGCGUUAGCGUCGGCACCGGAGGGAUCGACACCUCCGACACCUAAUCCACAUCGUUUACGGCAAGGACUAC
rnacentral:misc_RNA from 1 species